UACGAAGGGGGCGAGCGUUGUUCGGAUUUACUGGGCGUAAAGGGCGCGUAGGCGGCGCGAGAAGUCGAGUGUGAAAGCCCCGGGCUCAACCUGGGAAUGGCGCUCGAUACUCUUGUGCUUGAGUUCGGGAGAGGAGCGUGGAAUUCCCAGUGUAGAGGUGAAAUUCGUAGAUAUUGGGAAGAACACCGGUGGCGAAGGCGGCGCUCUGGACCGAGACUGACGCUGAGGCGCGAAAGCGUGGGGAGCAAACAGG
rnacentral:rRNA from 1 species